rnacentral:rRNA from 1 species
CCAGACUCCUACGGGAGGCAGCAGUGGGGGAUAUUGCACAAUGGGGGAAACCCUGAUGCAGCGACGCCGCGUGGGCGAAGAAGUAUUUCGGCAUGUAAAGCCCUAUCAGCAGGGAAGAAGAAAUGACGGUACCUGAGUAAGAAGCACCGGCUAAAUACGUGCCAGCAGCCGCGGUAAUACGUAGGGAGCGAGCGUUGUCCGGAAUUACUGGGUGUAAAGGGAGCGUAGGCGGGGAUGCAAGUUGGGUGUUAAAUCUACCGGCUCAACUGGUAGUCGCACUCAAAACUGCAGCUCUUGAGUGAAGUAGAGGCAGGCGGAAUUCCUAGUGUAGCGGUGAAAUGCGUAGAUAUUAGGAGGAACACCAGUGGCGAAGGCGACUUACUGGACUGUAACUGACGUUGAGGCACGAAAGUGUGGGGAGCAAACAGGAUUAGAUACCCUAGUACG